rnacentral:lncRNA from 10 species
AUUGGCCUUAUGAUAAUUCUUCUUCACCCAGCUGGCCGACACUUAUGGAAAAUAGAAAAAACCUACGUUGAAAUAUUGGGGGCAGGUUCCCCCAAUACCCAUUUCUUCAUUGUACAGUAAAAUCCAACAUGAUACUUCCUUCUGGAACAGACAUUGAAGUUUUGCUCUAAUCUGUGGAAAUUGUCCAAAUGGCAUACAGCAAAUGAGGAAACAUCUAUUUAAGAAAAUCUACUAAAAUUCAGAACAAUGAGAGUCUGUAACAUUUGAGCCACCUUCUACACUCUCCCUCUUUACCCUAAGCUCAGCCUAACAGAAACUUCAAUCCAAGUUGUCAAAAAGAUGAGUUCCUUCUCUUUACAAUUUCUGAUCAAGAGUUGCCAUAUUUUAUUGGGAGGGGGAAACCACUAACAUUUUUCAUCCUCUCCAACUCCAUGAAGAGGAUAUAUUCCAGGUGCAUGUUGCCAAAGGGUUGGUGGCUAUCUUCCUCCCACCAGCUCUCAGUCAGGAUGGAGUGUCUACUCUGUGCAUGGCUGGCAAGAAGAUUGGGGUUCUGAUUUUCCUGACAUGAACUCAAUCUUUGGGCAGCACCCCACGCCAGGAGAGUCAAGACAAAAAGUCUGGAGGACCAGAGGCUAACUCCUCUAGCCAGUGCCUGGAGUAGGGUUGAGACAUCUUAACCAAAUGAAAGGGGAAUCCAUAGGAAAAGGGACAUCUGAAUGCCCCCCAAAGGAAUUGAUUUUAUUUUAAACAGAAUAUGGUGAAGUUCAAGUAUAAGGGUACUAACAGUGGAUCUCUCGGCAGAAACUCUACAAGCUAGAAGAGAGUGGGAGCCAAUAUUCAACAUUCUUAAAGAAAAGAAUUUUCAACCCAGAAUUUCAUAUCCAGCGAAAACAAAUAGCUCUUCUUAAGUGACAGCAAAAAGUUUAACCAUAGGCCAGCUAGUUCACCAGACAGAAAAAGAGAAAGAAGUACAUAAGAAGUGCCCUCCUGGGAUCUCCAUAAACCUCAAAAACUGUCUUUAAAAACUACUACUGCAGCUGGGUAUGGUGGCUCAUACCUGUAAUCCCAGCACUUUGGGAGGCCAGGGCAGGUGGAUCACCUGAGGUCAAGAAUUAGAGACCAGCCUGGCCAACAUGGUGAAACCCCAUCUCUACUAAGAAUACAAAAAUUAGCCUAGCUGGUGAUGGACACUUGUAAUUCCAGCUACUCAGGAGGCUGAGGCAAG